AAUAUUUAUAUAAUAUAAUUGUUUAUUAUAUAUAUAUUAAAUAAAAAUAAUUUUAUUGUUAUAGUAAAUUUUAUUAAAAAAAUUCUUUAUAAAAAACUGGAAAGGUAAUAUUUUAAAUGUAAAUAUUUAUAAGUAAAAUUAAUUUUGUACCUUUUGUAUCAGGGUAAAUUAAUUAUAUAUAUAAAUAUAUAUUUCCCGAAUUUUAAUGAUUUAAGUUUUUUUGUAAAUUAUUAUUGUAUAAAUAUUUAUAAAUUUAACUUAGUAGUGAAAUUUUUACGCAUUAUAAGAUAUCUGGUUUUUCAAGAGAUGAAUUUAAUUCAGAAUAUAUUAAUAUAAUUUAUAUUUUAAUUUUAAAUUAUUACAUAUAUUUUAUUAUAUUAGGGAUUAGCCAAUUAUAUAAACUAUAUAUUUAAUUAAAAUUAUAAAUUGUUUAGGCUUAAAAACAGCUAAUUAUUAGGGUAAGUUAUAUUUCAAUAUAAAUAUAUUUAUAUUUAUUUAUUUAUUAGGUAGAAAUUGAAAAAUUUAAAUUAAUUAUUAAUUUUUAAUUAUAAUGAUUUAAUUAGUAUAAUUAUUAAAUUUUAUUUAUGAAUUAGGCAAUCCGAAUUUUCACCUGUUUAUCAAAAACAUGUCUUUUAGAUAAGAAAAUUAAAGGUCUAAUCUGCCCAAUGAUUAUUUAAUGGCCGCAGUAAACUGACUGUGCAAAGGUAGCAUAAUAAUUAGUCUUUUAAUUGAAGGCUUGUAUGAAUGAUUGAAUGAAAAAUUUACUUUAUUAAUAUAAAUUAUUAUAAUUUAAUUUUUAGGUUAAAAAGCCUAAAUUUAAAAGUUGGACGAGAAGACCCUAUAGAGUUUAAAAAUUUUAUUUUUUAAUAUGAUUUUAGUAUUAUUAUUUUAAUAUAAUAAAUAUAUUUUUUUAUUGGGGUGAUAUUAAAAAAAAAAAGACUUUUAAUAUAUAUAACAUUAAUAUAUGUAAUUAAUGAUCCAAUUUUGUUGAUUAAAAGAAUAAAUUACCUUAGGGAUAACAGCGUAAUUAUUUUUUAGAGUUCAUAUCAAUAAAAUAGUUUGCGACCUCGAUGUUGGAUUAAGAAUAUUAUUUGGAGCAAAUACUAAAUAUUUAGGUCUGUUCGACCUUUAAAUUCUUACAUGAUCUGAGUUCAGACCGGCGUGAGCCAGGUUGGUUUCUAUCCACUUUAUUAUUAAAAAUAUUAGUACGAAAGGACCAUAUUAAUUAAUUUAAUUAUG
rnacentral:rRNA from 1 species